rnacentral:rRNA from 1 species
UACGUAGGGUGCGAGCGUUGUCCGGAAUUAUUGGGCGUAAAGGGCUCGUAGGCGGCUUGUCACGUCGGGUGUGAAAGCCCGGGGCUUAACCCCGGGUCUGCAUUCGAUACGGGCUAGCUAGAGUGUGGUAGGGGAGAUCGGAAUUCCUGGUGUAGCGGUGAAAUGCGCAGAUAUCAGGAGGAACACCGGUGGCGAAGGCGGAUCUCUGGGCCAUUACUGACGCUGAGGAGCGAAAGCGUGGGGAGCGAACAGG